GGAGAAAAUCCCCUCCCCUGCCCUCCCGUCCCCUUCCCUUCCCUCCCCUAUCUUUCUCUCCUUCUUCUUCCCGUUUCCUUCCUUCCUUCUUAUUUUCUUACUUUUCUUUUUUACUUCUUUCCCUGCCUUCUUAGUCCCUUACUCUUUUCUUUCCUUUACUUUCUUUCCUUCCUUUUCGAUCCUUCCUUCCUUUUCAUUUCCUUUUCUAUCUAUUCUUCCUUCCUUUCCUUACUUUUAUUACCUUCCUUUCUUUCAUUUCUGUCCCUUUUUUUCCUUCCUAUCUUUCCUUCCUAUCUUUACUUUCCCUUCUUUUCUUCCUUUUCUUUUCAUUUUAUUUUCCCAUUUUUCCCUUCCCCUUCCCUUCCCCUUCCCUUCCCUUCCCUUCCCUUCCCUUCCCUUCCUUCCCUUCCCUUCCCUUCCCUUCCCUUCCCUUCCCUUCCCUUCCCUUCCCUUCCUUCCCUUCCCUUCCCUUCCCUUCCCUUCCCUUCCCUUCCCGCACUUUGCUGCGGAUCUCCCACCCCACAGCCCCACUCCCGGCCGCCAUCCCCGGCUGCGUCGCAACGGCGGCAGCGCGCCCCCACUCCCCGCACGCGCCUGAAGCCGACCCCGCGGCGACAGCGCAUGCGCGGCGUCGUCUCCGGAGCAACGCGGCGUCGCCGCGGAGUGACGUCAUCACGCUGCGACCCGAGGAGGCGGCCGGGCGGCAGCGGGGCGGGGCGGCCCCGGGGCUCCGAGCGCCGCCUCAGCUUCUGCGACCUCCCUUUUCCCCACUUAGAAUCGUGCAGAAGGAUCUGGAGACGUCCUAGAGAGGUUUGGGGGCAUCCAGGGGGUUCUGGACUCAUGCAGAAGAGUCUGGAGAUGUCCAAGGAGGAUCCAGGGAGUCCCCAGGCCUGCCUGCAGCCGGACCCGGUGACACCGGAGCCCUGUGGCGCUGUCACCAUCCUCUGUCCGAGGACGGGAGGUGAACUCUGUGCCACCAGCAGAGGGGACCACGGGUGACAUCAGUGUGGAACAGCCGUGACGCGGCGGCGUUGUCAUUGGGUGUCACCGUCACGCAGAGGGGACAAAAGGACCCCCCUGGGGGCAUUGCGUCGAAGUUGGGGACACCGUGAGCAGCUUGAGGACUUCCCAGGGGAAGUGGGGGCACCGCGUCACCGUGUCACACCCCAAAGGUGGGGAUGCCCCCACAGUGUCACACCCCAAAGUUGGGGGCACCCCUGUAGUUUCACACCCCGAAGUUGGGGACGCCUCCACAGUGUCACACCCGAAAGUUGGGACAGCUCUGUGUCACCCCGAUGGUGUCAGACCCCAAAGUUGGGACACCCCAAAGUUGGGGUCUGUCCCAGAGGUGGGAGUGCCCCCACAUCCCCACCAUGGCGUCACAUCCCAAAGUUGGGGACCCCCUCUGGGGACCCAUUCUGUGCGUCCCCCACUGCAGACAGCAGUGUUCCCAUGUGUGGGCUGGGGGGCACCCUUUAUUUUUGGGAUUAAGGUUUAUUUCGUGAUAACGGGGCGUUGGGGGAUGCCCCCCCCAAGUGAAUAAAGGGCGAGGAGCGGCUGUGGGCUCCGUGUGUCACACCGGGGGUGCUUUGGGGACACUGCAGCAUCCCAGCCCCAUAGUCCCCAUGGCCCUAUAACCACUACAGCCCCAUCUCGUAGCCAUCCCAUAUCCAUAUCCCAUCCCAUAUCCCAUCCUGUAUCCAUAACCCUUCCAAUAUCCAAACCACCAUAUCCGUCCCACACCCAUAGCCCAAAUCCAUCCCAUAUCCGUAUCCCAAAUCCAUCCCGUAUCCAUAGCCCAUCCAUAUCCGUAUCCCAUCCCAUAUCUCAUCCCCUAUCCAUAUCCCAUCCCAACUCCAUGCCAAAUCUCUUUCUAUAUCCACAUCACCUAUCCAUCCCAUAACCAUCCCAAUCCCUCUCAAAUCCAUAUC
rnacentral:lncRNA from 7 species